GAACCCAGUCCGCAUAGUUACUACCAUCAUCUUUCAGCUUGUUUUUUUUAGGAAUGCGUUGAAAUUGAGGUUGACGUUGGCCAUCUACAAUAUUUAUAAAGACAACUUUUAGACUAAGUUCAUGACAAUUAAGUUCAUUUAAUCAAAUUAAGUAUGAACUCCCACUUAAAUCGAUAUCCCUCUAGUCAUCUAAGUGAUACAUGAUCCAUGUUGACUAACCUGUGUCCGAUCAUCACGUGAGACGGACUAGUCACCAUGGUGAGCAACUUCAUGCUGAUCGUAUUCAACCAUACGACUCAUGUUCGACCUUUCGGUCUCUUGUAAUCGAGGUCAUGUCUGUACAUGCUAAGCUCGUCGAGUCAACCUAGGUGUUUCGCGUGUGUAAAUCUGGCUUACACCCGUUGUAUGCGAACGUUAGAAUCUAUCACACCCGAUCAUCACGUGGUGCUUCGAGACAACGAUCCUUCGCAACGGUGCACACUUAGGGGAAUACAUUCUCGAAAUUUUAAGAGGGAUCAUCUUAUUAUGCUACCGUCGUUCUAAGCAAUAAGAUGAAAAACAUGAUAAACAUCACAAUGCAAUCAUAUAGUGACAUGAUAUGGCCAUUAUCAUCUUUGCUCUUUCGAUCUCCAUCUUCAGGCAUCGCAUGAUCAUCAUCGUCACUGGCGUGACACCAUGAUCUCCAUCAUCGUGUCUUCGUGAAGUCGUCACGCCAACUACUACUAUCACUACUACUAUAGCUAACCGUUAGCAAUGAAGUAAAAGAAGUAAGCACAUGGCGUUGCAUCUCAUACAAUAAAUUAAGACAACUCCUAUGGCUCCUGCCGGUUGUCAUACUCAUCGACAUGCAAGUCGUGAAACCUAUUACAAUAACAUGAUCAUCUCAUACAUCAUACAUGAAACAUCACAACUUUGGCCAUAUCACAUUGUAGGGAACGUCGCAUGGCAAACAAAAAGUUUCCUACGCGCACGAAGUCCUAUCAUGGUGAUGUCCAUCUACGAGAGGGGAUUUUCAAUCUAUGUACCCUUGUAGAUCGCACAGCAAAAGCGUUAGUGAACGCGGUUGAUGUAGUGGAACGUCCUCACGUCCCUCGAUCCGCCCCGCGAACCGUCCCACGAACUGUCCCACGAUCUAGUGCCGAACGAACGGCACCUCCGCGUUCAGCACACGUACAGCUCGACGAUGAUCUCGGCCUUCUUGAUCCAGCAAGAGAGACGGAGAGGUAGAUGAGUUCUCCGGCAGCGUGACGGCUCUCUAGAGGUUGGUGGUGAUCUAAUCUCAGCAGGGCUCCGCCCGAGCUCCGCAGAAACGCGAUCUAGAGGUAAAACCGUGGAGGUAUGUGGUCGGGCUGCCUUUGAAAAGUUGUCUCAAAUCAGCCCUAAUUGCUCCAUAUAUAUAGGAGGAGGGGAGGGGAGGCUUGCCUUGAGGCUCAAGGAGCCCCAAGGGCUGCGCCACCAAGGGAGGAGGAGUCCUCCUCCAAUCCUAGUCCAACUAGGAUUGGAAGGUGGAGUCCUUCUCUCCUUUCCCACCUCCUUUUUUUCUUUUCUCUUUGAUUUUCUAUCUAUGGCGCAUAGGGCCUUCUUGGGCUGUCCCACUAGCCCACCAAGGGCUGGUGCGCCACCCCCAAGGCCUAUGGGCUUCCCCGGGGUGGGCCUCCCCCCCCCCCCCCGGUGAACACCCGGAACCCAUUCGUCAUUCCCGGUACAUUCCCGGUAACUCCGAAAACCUUCCGGUAAUCAAAUGAGGUCAACCUAUAUAUCAAUCUUCGUUUCCGGACCAUUCCGGAAACCCUCGUGACGUCCGUGAUCUCAUCCGGGACUCUGAACAACAUUCUGUAACCAACCAUAUAACUCAAAUAUGCAUAAAACAACGUCGAACCUUAAGUGUGCAGACCCUGCGGGUUAGAGAACUAUGUAGACAUGACCCGAGUGACUCCUCGGUCAAUAUCCAAUAGCGGGACCUGGAUGCCCAUAUUGGACCUGAGUGGCUCCUCGGUCUUAUCGUUUGAACCUGAGUGUCAAGGAUUCAUAUAAUCCCGUAUGUCAUUCCCUUUGUCCUUCGGUAUGUUACUUGCCCGAGAUUCGAUCGUCAGUAUCCGCAUACCUAUUUCAAUCUCGUUUACCGGCAAGUCUCUUUACUCAUUUCGUAAUACAAGAUCCCGCAACUUACACUAAGUCACAUUGCUUGCAAGGCUUGUGUGUGAUGUUGUAUUACCGAGUGGGCCCCAAGAUACCUCUCCGUCACACGGAGUGACAAAUCCCAGUCUCGAUCCAUACUAACUCAACGAACACCUUCGGAGAUACCUGUAGAGCAUCUUUAUAGUCACCCAAUUACGUUGCGACGUUUGAUACACACAAAGCAUUCCUCCGGUGUCAGUGAGUUAUAUGAUCUCAUGGUCAUAGGAACAAAUACUUGACAAACAGAAAACAAUAGCAACAAAAUGACACGAUCAACAUGCUACGUCUAUUAGUUUGGGUCUAGUCCAUCACAUGAUUCUCCUAAUGAUGUGAUCCCGUUAUCAAGUAACAACACUUGCCUAUGGCCAGGAAACCUUGACCAUCUUUGAUCAACGAGCUAGUCAACUAGAGGCUUACUAGGGACAGUGUUUUGUCUAUGUAUCCACACAAGUAUUGUGUUUCCAAUCAAUACAAUUAUAGCAUGGAUAAUAAACGAUUAUCAUGAACUAAGAAAUAUAAUAAUAACUAAUUUAUUAUUGCCUCUAGGGCAUAUUUCCAACACACAUCACAUGUCAAACCCUGCAAAAACAAGUUAGACGUCCUCUAAUUGUUGUUGCAAGUUUUACGUGGCUGAUUUGGGUUUCUAGCAAGAACGUUUUCUUACCUACGUGACAGCCACAACGAUGAUAUGCCAAAGCUAUUUACCCUUCAUAAGGACCCUUUUCAUCAAAUCCAAUCCGACUGGAGAAGGAGAGACAGACACCCGCUAGCCACCUUUAUGCACGGUUUGCAUGUUUGUCGGUGGAACCAGUCUCACGUAAGCGCACGUGUAAUGUCGGUCCGGGCCACUUCAUCCCACAAUACCGCCGGAAAAGAAUAAGACUAGUAGCGGCAAGCAAUUGACAAAUCAUCGCCCACAACCUUUUGUGUUCUACUCGUGCAUAGAAUCUACGCAUAGAAAGCCUGGCUCGGAUGCCACUGUUGGGUAACGUAGCAUAAAUUCAAAAAAAAUCCUACGCAUAUUCAGAUCUUCCUAUGGAGAGACCAGCAACGAGAGAGGGGUGAGUGCAUCUUCAUACCUUUGAAUAUCGCUAAGAGGAAGCGUUACUAGAACGCGGUUGAUGGAGUCAUACUCACGGCAAUUCAGAUCGCGGUGUGAUUCCGAUCUAGUGCCGAACUACGGCACCUUCGCAUUCAACACACGUGCAGCCCGGUGAUGUCUCCCGCACCUUCAUCCAGCAAGGAGGAGGGAGAGGUUGGGGAAGAUCUCCAGCAGCACGACGGAGUGGUGUCGAUGGAGAGACGAGGUCUCACGGCAGGGCUUCGCCAAGCACCGGCAGAGAGGAGGAGAAAGAAGAGCAGGGCUGCGCCGAGGGAGAGGGAAAACCGUGUCUCCAAAAGCUCAAAAGUGUCCACUAUAUAUAGGAGGAGGGGAGGGGGUGCCACCCCUAGGGUUCCCACCCUAGGUGGUGCGGCAGCCCCCCAGAUGGGAGGUGCGGCGGCUAGGGCAAGGGGGAGGGGUGGCGCACCCCUAGGUGGGCCUUAGGCCCACCAGCGCCUAGGGUUUCCCCCCCUCUCCACCUCCUGCGCCUUGGGCUGAGUGUGGGGAGCGCACCAGCCCACCUAGGGGCUGGUUCCCUCCUGCACUUGGCCCAUCUAGCCACCCGGGGUCGUUGCCCCCUUCCGGUGGACCCCGGGGCCACCUCCGGUGAUCCCGGUGGUCCCGAUACGUUACCGGUGACGCCCAAACACUUCCGGUGUCCGAAACCAUCCGUCCUAUAUAUCAAUCUUUACCUCUGGUCCAUUCCGGAGCUCCUCGUGACGUCCAGGAUCUCAUCCGGGACUCCGAACAACUUUUGAUAACCUCGUAUAACAAUUCCCUAUAACCCUAGCGUCAUCGAACCUUAAGUAUGUAGACCCUACGGGUUCGGGAGACACGCAGACAUGACCGAGACACCUCUCCGGCCAAUAACCAUCAGCGGGGUCUGGAUACCCAUGGUGGCUCCCACUUGCUCCACGAUGCUCUCAUCGGAUGAACCACGAUGUCAAGGAUUCAAUCAAUCCCGUAUACAAUUCCCUUUGUCUGUCGGUAUAGAACUUGCCCGAGAUUCGAUCGUCGGUAUACCUAUACCUUGUUCAAUCUCGUUACCGGUAAGUCUCUUUACUCGUUCCGUAGAACGUCAUCGUGUGACUAACUCCUUUAGUCACAUUGAGCUCAUGAUGAUGUUCUACCGAGUGGGCCCAGAGAUACCUCUCCGUCACACGGAGUGACAAAUCCCGAUCUCGAUUCGUACCAACCCAACAGACACUUUCAGAGGUACCCGUAGUGCACCUUUAUAGUCACCCAGUUACGUUGUGACGUUUGAUACACCCAAAGCACUCCUACGGUAUCCGGGAGUUGCACAAUCUCACGGUCGAAGGAAAAGACACUUGACAUUAGAAAAGCUUUAGCAUACGAAGAAUACGACCUAGUGCUACGCUUAGGAUUGGAUCUUGUCCAUCACAUCAUUCUUCCAAUGAUGUGAUCCCGUUAUCAAUGACAUCUAAUGCCCAUGACCAGGAAACCAUGAUCAUCUAUUGACUAACGAGCUAGCCAACUAGAGGCUUGCUAGGGACACAUUGUGAUCUGUUUAUUCACACAUGUAUUACUGUUUCCUGUUAAUACAAUUAUAGCAUAAACAAUAGACGAUUAUCAUGAACAAGGAAAUAUGAUAAUAACCAUUUUAUUAUUGCCUCUAGGGCAUAUUUUCAACAGUAUCGUGCCAUGCGUGCGUACAGGGCCGGUCCUGAGAUUUCGGGAGCCCGGGGCGAAAUUAGAAUUGAGGCCCCCCUAAUAUAGACAUCAAAAUAUAAAGUAUGUAUUGAGAUGUCCCUUCAUUCGCUGUAUAUAUUAUCUCAAAUUCUUAUAUCAUAAGUAUUCAAAAAUAUUAUUUAUAAAUACUACUAAAUUCUAAAGGAGAUAAGUUAAUUAAAUAUGGCUUAGGAUCACUCACAUAUUUUCAUGUGUGUCGACCUCGGCAGUAUAUCUUCCAUAGGACCUUCAUCCUCUUGAUUAACAUUAGGUUGCUUUUGCACAACAAAUCAAUGCCUCGUUUGGAUCAUUUGAAUUGAUCAUAUUCCUCUUGAAAAAUUAUUAGCAGAGCAUAUUUGUAAUUUACCAACUCAUCUCUGUAUAUAAAGUAAACAAUUAGUACGUGAAUACCACCAUAAAUCAACACUAGAUCAACUCAACAAAUCUUACCAGUUAUCAUGAGGCCUGAUAAUGCCCUUUCACAUCAAUAAAGAUGCAACUUGUAUCAAUUUCCAUGAGAAAAAUUGCCAUCGUAUAGCCUCCUCAUUCGGCGUGAGGACGGGGAUGUGGCGCUGUUGCCUGGGCGGUGGCCGGUUGGCGUCAUGGCCUGGGCAAUCAGGCAGGCAACGACGAGGACCCGAUAAACGCACACAAUCGGCAACCACACAGAUGAUUAGCUGACCAGACUGUAGGCGAUGAGGAGAAAAUAGACAUCCGGCAAGCGUCGUGCGUGCGCCGCCGCAUUUGUUUGCUUGAAUCGUGAUGGUGUUGAAUCGCCUAUCAGCCGAUGCGUCGCUAACUCCUCAAUCCGGUGCAUGGUGCGUGGAUAUGUCUUACUUUUUUUAGGGAUGUUGAUAAGUAUUACUAACCCACUAACAAAAUCCUGCUAAUAACUACCAC
rnacentral:lncRNA from 1 species